UACGUAGGGUGCAAGCGUUGUCCGGAAUUACUGGGCGUAAAGGGCGCGUAGGCGGAUGUCUAAGUUGGGGGUGAAAGCCCGGGGCUCAACCUCGGAAUAGCCUUCAAUACUGGAUAUCUUGAGUUCGGGAGAGGUGAGUGGAAUGCCGAGUGUAGAGGUGAAAUUCGUAGAUAUUCGGCGGAACACCAGUGGCGAAGGCGACUCACUGGCCCGGUACUGACGCUGAGGUGCGAAAGCGUGGGGAGCAAACAGG
rnacentral:rRNA from 1 species